UUUUCCAAAAAAUUCAAAGUUGUUAAUGCCAUUUGAUCCGUUUCUGAUCCUGAAUUUUAAAGUUGAAUCGAAUCCUGUUGGGCAAAAAUUUGGCCUUCUAAUUGCCUACUUAUUCAGCUAAGCCUGAUGGAAUAGGUGCUGUGGUGUGGAAUAUCGGGAAAUUCUACAAUUUAGUUUUGAUAUUAUGUUAUCGGAAACUCAUAGCAAUUUGAGAUAGGACAUUCUCAUGCGGAUACAUUCAUAUCAGGCUUUCUCAUAAUGGAAUAGUAUGAAGUGCAUUCUGGUAAUAGAUUUACGGAAAGGUUUUAUAUGGGGCGGAUGCGGGGAUUCUUCCAUCAUUUUCUAGAAGUUUGCUGUCGUUCUAUGCAAGGGUUGGACUGGAUAUUGCUAGCUGAAUGGCUGACUUCAACAGGCAGAUUCUUUCCGAUAGGGAUUAUGAGCAGGCCAUAACAACCCUUAAGAAAGGGAUGUAUCUUCUGAAGUAUGGACGACGGGGAAAGCCUAAAUUUUGUCCAUUCAGUCUUUCAAACGAUGAGAAAUCGCUGAUCUGGUACUCUGAUAAAGAAAAGAAACAACUCGAACUAAGCCAUGUUUCAAGGAUUGUACCUGGACAGCGUACUGCAAUAUUCCAGCGUUACCCUCAGCCUGAUAAAGAACAUCAGUCAUUUUCUCUUAUUUACAGCAACAGAUCCUUGGAUUUGAUAUGCAAGGACAGGGAUGAAGCUGAGAUCUGGUUUACUGCUCUUAAAGUCUUAAUUUGGGGAGGUGACAAUCGCAGGCCAAAAAGUGAUGCAAUAAGUGAUAAUGCGUCAUCAGAAAGUCCAUGUACCUAUACACAAAGAAAUUGUCUAUCAAAUGUGUCAUCUACAGGCUGUGACAUCAUCUCUAAGGAUCCCAAAGAUAUCCAAACUGCUUCAGUCCCAUAUGAGAGCUCUCAACAGUGUAGGUUGGGAAAAGCUUUUUCUGAGGUUUUAACAUACACUUCUAUAACAAAGGCCUUGACUCAUACUGACUCAGUUGCCAAGGAUUUCAGUUCUUUAUCACUGGGGGGGUUAGAUAACCCACAUGGAUGCUCCUCUGUUAUUGAUUCAUUUCGAAGUAGUUUAUCCAGUGCAGUAAGUUCAUCCAGCCGGGGAACUUCUUUUGAGGAUUUUGAUGCAUUAGGCGAUGUUUUUAUCUGGGGAGAAGGAACUGGUAACGGACCGCUUGGUGGCAGUGUGCACAGAACUCAAACUAAUUCUGUUACCAGAGUAGAUUCACUUUCACCAAAGGCUCUCGAAUCAAAUGUACUCCUUGAUGCUCACAAUAUCUCUUGUGGGAAUAAGCAUGCUGUUUUAGUCACAAGACAGGGGCGGAUCUUUAGUUGGGGUGAGGGAAGUGGUGGCAGGCUUGGGCAUGGAGUUGAAGCUGAUGUUUCUCAACCAAUGCUCAUUGGUGCUCUCAGUUGGUCAACUAUUGGAUUAGUUGCCUGUGGGGAAUUUCAUACUUGUGCUGUAACACUUUCAGGGGACCUUUAUACUUGGGGUGAUGGUUCUUACAAUCUUGGUCUAUUAGGGCACGGUACUGAAGCAAGUAAGUGGACUCCUAAAAGGGUAAGCGGUGAGAUGGAAGGUAUGCAUGUAUCAUAUAUCUCUUGUGGGGCUUGGCAUACAGCUGCUGUUACAUCAACAGGUAAAUUAUUUACAUUUGGAGAUGGUACUUUUGGAGCUCUAGGCCAUGGGGACCGUAGUAGCACAAAUAUGCCUAGAGAAGUUGAUGCUCUUAGGGGGCUACGAACAUUGAGGGCAUCUUGUGGAGUUUGGCACACCGCUGCCAUUGUUGAAGUGCCUACUGAGACUUCUGGUGCGUUUUCAUCUGGAAAGCUGUUCACAUGGGGGGAUGGGGAGAAAGGCCAGCUUGGACAUGGUGACAAAGAACCCAGAUUAGUUCCUUUUUUGGUAGCACUGUCAGACACUAUAAGCUUUUCUCAAGUGGCUUGUGGCCACAGUAUCACUGUUGCUCUAGCUGACACAGGGAAAGUGUAUUCCAUGGGGAGUGUUGGUCCUGGACAACUUGGGAGCUCUGGAAGUAGCAAGCUUCCAACUUGUGUCAAAGGAAAUAUCAAAAACAGCCGAAUUGAAGAGAUAGCAUGUGGUUCUCAUCAUAUUGUGGUCCGCAGUUCAGAUGCUAAGGUUUACACCUGGGGAAAGGGUGCAAAUGGUCAAUUAGGUCAUGGAGACAAUGCAGACAGGAAUGUUCCUACACUUGUUGAUGCUUUGCAAAACAAACGAGUAAAGAGAGUGGUAUGUGGCUCCAACUUUACUGCUGCAAUUUGUCUCCAUGACUGGGCACUAGGUGCUGAUCAUUUUAAUUGUUUUGGUUGUCGGAAUCCAUUUAGUUUCAUCAGAAAGCGUCAUAACUGUUACAACUGCGGGCUAGUCUUUUGUAAAGCUUGCAGCUGUAAGAAAUCUCUAAAAGCUGCUUUGGCUCCUAACAUGAACAAGCCUUAUCGGGUCUGUGAUGAUUGUUUUACCAAAUUAAAUAGGAAAAAGGAGUCUAGAUCAACUCCUGAAUUCGUUAAGAAUUCAAGGGAAAGCUUAAAUCAGAAUAGCAAUGAGUUACCAGAGAAAGAUACUCUGAAUUCAAAAUCUCUUCGUAAGCUUGCCAGGCUUGCCUCCUUUGAUUCAUUCAGACAGACCAGGAGCCAAAAUUCCAAACAUGAUAGGAGAGUAUUAAAUGAAAAUUCUCAAUGGGAAUCAACCUCUUUAUUUGGAAAUUCUACGAGAAUAUCAGCUUCUUCUUCUGGUUCAAGAAUGGUUUCUCGAGGUUCAUCUCCUCCCUCAAGGAAGUCGAGUCCAGCUUAUUAUAUUACAAGAACUUCAAUUCAUACUAAUCUUACAAAUCCAGAACUCCUUUUCAAUGGCUCAAAGCACUCAGUUGAGAGCCUCACCCAAGAGAUAGGUAUAUUAAGAGCACAGGUUGAGGAUCUUACUGUCAAAUCCCAAGUCCUAGAAGAAAAACUUGAAAGAACAUCAAGGCAGUUGAAGGAGGCAGUGGGUACAGCACAUGAGGAAGCUGAAAAGAACAAGGCUUCAAAGGAAGUAAUCAGAUCUCUAACAGUGCAGUUGAAGAAAAUGGCUGGAAGAGCACCUGACAAUCAACUGCAUCUUGGAACUGAAUUUCACUCACUGAACUCACAUUCUUGUUCAGAGUUGAAGAUAUCUCAGAGGCAUGACUAGCCCAAAUAGAACGAAAAGCCUUUUGACAUGCCCAACGUCUUGAGUAAGGAUCUAAUGGCAAAGUAAACAGCACUGAGAGAUACGAUGGCAAAUAGUGGAUAGUAUAUUGCAAACAGGGCGCAUAUAAAAAUGCUUCCCCUUACUCAGAAGUGAACUAUAUGAGACCUUCUCCACUCAGAGUGAAGUCGUAUCUGAUAACGAGUUGGCCAGUUCUUAUGGGUAACCUGUUUCACAAUCACCAAUUUCUGUUUGGAUGAAUGGUGUUCCUCAAGGCUUUUCUACAGUGAGAAUCAUAGGGAGAACAAUCAAGGAAGGUAUUUGAGCACUGCUUGUAAGGGAAGAAUAAAUUCUGUCUGCCAAUGUCAAUAUAAAAGGAGGGAUAGUAAGAUUCCAUUCUCCCACAAUGUUCCACCUGAAAAUGUAUUGUAGUUUCUUCAUUUGUUUUUGUGGGUUUGCGGUAUUAUACAAGUACAAGCCUUAAAGAAAGAAUUGUCUUCAUAAGA